rnacentral:rRNA from 1 species
UACGUAGGGGGCUAGCGUUGUCCGGAAUCAUUGGGCGUAAAGCGCGUGUAGGCGGUUCGGUAAGUCCGCUGUGAAAGUCGGGGGCUCAACCCUCGAAUGCCGGUGGAUACUGUCGGACUAGAGUACGGAAGAGGCGAGUGGAAUUCCUGGUGUAGCGGUGAAAUGCGCAGAUAUCAGGAGGAACACCAAUUGCGAAGGCAGCUCGCUGGGACGUUACUGACGCUGAGACGCGAAAGCGUGGGGAGCGAUCCGG